AUAUCAGUAAGCGGAGGAAAAGAAACUAACGAGGAUUCCCCCAGUAACGGCGAGUGAAGCGGGAACAGCCCAUGACGAGCACGUGAAAGCGUGAAUGAGUCGUAGAAAGGCCUUUUUGACCGGAUUGAUUGCGCGCAAGUUCCAUGGAAAGGGACGGCAAAGAGGGUGAGACCCCCGUGGUAGCAAUUGAGAAGGAAUUUGAAAAAGUCUUGGCGAGUCGGAUUGUUUGGGAAUGCAAUCCCAAUUGGGUGGUACGCGCCAUCUAAGGCUAAACAAGGGCAAGAGACCGAUAGCGCACAAGUA
rnacentral:rRNA from 1 species